GACGAACGCUGGCGGCGUGCUUAACACAUGCAAGUCGAACGGAAAGGCCCUGCUUUUGUGGGGUGCUCGAGUGGCGAACGGGUGAGUAACACGUGAGUAACCUGCCCUUGACUUUGGGAUAACUUCAGGAAACUGGGGCUAAUACCGGAUAGGAGCUCCUGCUGCAUGGUGGGGGUUGGAAAGUUUCGGCGGGUGGGGAUGGACGCGCGGCUUAUCAGCUUGUUGGUGGGGUAGUGGCUUACCAAGGCUUUGAAGGGUCGCCGGCAUGAGAGGGUGACCGGCGACAUGAGUACUGCGGUACGGACCAGAGUCCUACGGGAGGCAGCAGGCGGGAAUAUUGCACAAUGGGCGGAAGCCUGAUGAAGCAGCGCCGCGUGCGGGAUGACCGCCUUCGGGUUGUAAACCGCUUUCGCCUGUGACGAAGCGUGAGUGACGGUAAUGGGUAAAGAAGCACCGGCUAACUACGUG
rnacentral:rRNA from 1 species